CCUGCCCCAGGCCCCCCAGCAGACUCUGCUCCGGCCCCUUCCCUCUGCUUUGAACACUCAGUGCUGCCUGUCUGGCAAGUUCCCACCUCAGGGGCAGGCUUCUGCUGCUCUAUGCCUGGGACAUUCUCCCUGGAAUGGACACGUGGAUGGCUCCUUCCCUUCCCUGAGGUCUCUGCUCUCCAAGGUCAUCCCACCAGUGGCAUUCCCUAAUUACCUUUAUAUUCAAUUGCAAGCCCCGCCCCCCAUCUAUCUCUCCCUGCUUUGUUUUUCUCCACACCACCUGACAGGCCUACUUUUUUUUUUUUUUUUUUUUACUUCUGCAUUUGCUUCAAGUCUGGCUGUAAGUUCCCUGGGGGCCAAAAUCCAUACUGAAACCCCCAAGUGCCUAGACCCACCUCCAGGGCCUGGCACCGAGUAGAAGAGAGACAGACCAAGAGACAGAGAAAAAAAAAGCACAACUCAGCUUGUAAAUUUUGAUCAAUCAUAUUUGAUCUCAGAUGCGUCAAAUAAGUUUCCGGGAAUUUUUAACUGAUAGAUCAGACUAUUCAAUGACCUCAGAGGAAGAUGUGCCUUCCUCUUCACUUGUGAUAAAGACAGGGUCUCGAAAUUCAAGAGAAAAGAAACGAAAAAGAAAAAAAUGAGUACGCAAAACAAUGCUGGUUUUUCCAAGAAUUUGGACUUACAUGCCUGCUGGCGAUGACUUUCACAAGGCCUUUUUCACCUACCCUCCCCAGGUUAAGGAGGUGGGUCUUGUGGGUGGAUUUUAAGAGGGGGGAAAGGGUGGGGCCUGAACUUGUAAGUGUUUGACUUCCUGUUUUUAAAAACGGCUGUGCUGAUAGAGCUGGUCAUAAGCAAAAUGACUUUCCAACCAGAUAAAUCUAAACCGCAGCCCCCACUGCUGCAGGAUGGAUCCCCACGUCCCCUGCCCCACGGACAUCUCCAGCCACCCCUCCGCUGACCACCACUUUCAUUUCAGAAAGCAAUGAAAUGAGAGCUCCUGAGCAUUGGCUGUAACUGUUGGAGGAAACUGCCUAUGUGUAUCUGUCUCCUCUUAAUGCGGCCAUGACAAUGCCUCACUGAGGUGCAAACGUUUCAACCACCAAAGGGAGUCCCCAUACUGGGCAGGUCUUAGCCUUCAGUUAUUUAAUGCUGCUUUCAGGAUUCAUAACAGUCUCCUAUUUGAGACCCUCCUGCUGCCUUUGCAAAAGGAAACGCCAGAGAGAUAACCUAAGAACCGGCCCUACAAACUGAAAAUCCUCUGGGACGCUGUGUUUUGUUGCCCCAUCGUCUGUAUCGUUGCAUGAGGUAACAGAGG